ensembl:ncRNA ZK381.58 ncRNA
UCAUUAUAACUGAAGUGAAUCCAUGUGGAGUUAUACCUGUCAGGUUUUACCACCACUUUUCCUCGUUUCACUGUAGGAGAGGACCGGAGACUGCUUACCAAAUCACGAAAACUGA